UACUCCAGCCACUUCUGUCUCUCUUUCACAACAGGAGUCAAUUUCAGACUGCAGAGCACAGAUAUGUCUGGCAGAUACAUCCUUCUUCCUGCAUGGUAAAUAAGUGUCUCAGAGAUUCCGAGCCAUUAAUCUCAUCAAAACCAGAAAUUCUAACCAUUCUGCAAAGGAGAAUGAAUCAAGCUUGGAGCUUUUUGGGAAGAGAAAAGGACAGAAGAAGAACAAAGAGAAGACAUAAGAAUAAAUGAAACGUACUCCAGUUGAUUGGAAGGUCCUAAAGAGAACCUGAAUUUUGGAAUGUUUGACAAGCUUUACAAAACUGACGAGGAUUUCUUCUGAACAAUGGCUGCUCAGUGAGCUGUCUUAGAUAUUAUGGAGCUAUAGAGCAGAGAAUAUACUGGGGAAGCAUGUGCUGUAAGGAACAAUGCAAGUGCUAGAACCGUGCUGCUGUGAAGCACAAACCCACUGGGCUUUGUGCAUGAGGAGCUAUACAGGAGGUGUCACGUCUGCACAAGUACAGCGUUGACUCUCUCAGCAAGCUCUUCCUAACAAUGUUUCUGGUGCAUAUACUGUUGUGAGAAGCCAGCUGGCUGCCAUCUGAGAGCAGAUGCCAAGUGGCUGUCAGAUUGUCAUCUUGAGUUUUAGUAUUCGACUCGUCUUUCUGUGAAUUGGCUUUUGGCCUCUUUUUCCCUAGGAAGAGUUAUGUCUGAGCCAAACAGCCUCAGAUUUAUCUCCUGUAAAAGAAAUGAAAGUAUGAGUCACUAUCGCUUCUGGUGAAAUAAUUUAUAAAUCAGAAUUACUGUGCUUUAAGUGGCUUUCCCACUUCUAUUUCGUUUUAUUUUUUUAUUUUUUUGUAGUUACAUAACGUUUCUUCUGCAGUUCCUAAAAGAAGUAUCGGAAAAACACAUAGAACCACUUCAAACAGUUUACUCAUUCAAUCUGUCCAUUAUGUAAUUAAUUAGAAAAUCUGAGAGAAAUAUAGUUUUUUGAGUUUCUGAGUUCCUGCUGCUCGUAUUUAAAGUUUUAAUAAAAAGGCUGGUUGCAAUGGUCUC
ensembl:lncRNA